rnacentral:rRNA from 1 species
CUACGGGUCGCAGCAGUGAGGAAUAUUGCGCAAUGGACGAAAGUCUGACGCAGCCAUGCCGCGUGCAGGAUGACGGCGCUAUGCGUUGUAAACUGCUUUUAUAGGCCAAGAAACCUUCGGACGUGUCCGAAGCUGACGGUAGCAUAUGAAUAAGCACCGGCUAACUCCGGGCCAGCAGCCGCGGUAAUACGGAGGGCGCAAGCGUUAUCCGGAUUUAUUGGGUUUAAAGGGUCCGUAGGCGGAUCAUUAAGUCAGUGGUGAAAGCCGGCAGCUCAACUGUCGAACUGCCAUUGAUACUGGUGAUCUUGAAUACGGUUGAAGUUGGCGGAAUAGGUCAUGUAGCGGUGAAAUGCUUAGAUAUGACCUAGAACACCGAUUGCGAAGGCAGCCAACUAAGCCGUUAUUGACGCUGAGGGACGAAAGCGUGGGGAGCGAACAGGAUUAGAUACCCCCGUAGUC